CCUACGGGAGGCAGCAGUAGGGAAUCUUCCACAAUGGACGAAAGUCUGAUGGAGCAACGCCGCGUGAGUGAAGAAGGUUCUCGGAUCGUAAAACUCUGUUGUGAGGGAAGAACAAGUACCGGAGUAACUGCCGGUACCUUGACGGUACCUCAUUAGAAAGCCACGGCUAACUACGUGCCAGCAGCCGCGGUAAUACGUAGGUGGCAAGCGUUGUCCGGAAUCAUUGGGCGUAAAGCGCGCGCAGGCGGCCCCUUAAGUCUGAUGUGAAAGCCCACGGCUCAACCGUGGAGGGUCAUUGGAAACUGGGGGACUUGAGUGCAGAAGAGGAAAGCGGAAUUCCAAGUGUAGCGGUGAAAUGCGUAGAGAUUUGGAGGAACACCAGUGGCGAAGGCGGCUUUCUGGUCUGUAACUGACGCUGAGGCGCGAAAGCGUGGGGAGCAAACAGGAUUAGAUACCCUGGUAGUCCACGCCGUAAACGAUGACAGCUAGAUGUCGGGGGGUUGCCUCUCGGUGUCGCCGCUAACGCAUUAAGCUGUC
rnacentral:rRNA from 1 species